rnacentral:rRNA from 1 species
GACGAACGCUGGCGGCGUGCCUAAUACAUGCAAGUCGAGCGAAGUUUUUCUGGUGCUUGCACUAGAAAAACUUAGCGGCGAACGGGUGAGUAACACGUAAAGAACCUGCCUCAUAGACUGGGACAACUAUUGGAAACGAUAGCUAAUACCGGAUAACAGCAUUAACUGCAUGGUUGAUGUUUAAAAGUUGGUUUUGCUAACACUAUGAGAUGGCUUUGCGGUGCAUUAGCUAGUUGGUGGGGUAAAGGCCUACCAAGGCGACGAUGCAUAGCCGACCUGAGAGGGUGAUCGGCCACACUGGGACUGAGACACGGCCCAGACUCCUACGGGAGGCAGCAGUAGGGAAUCUUCCGCAAUGGGCGAAAGCCUGACGGAGCAACGCCGCGUGAGUGAAGAAGGAUUUCGGUUCGUAAAGCUCUGUUGUUAGGGAAGAAUGAUUGUGUAGUAACUAUACACAGUAGAGACGGAACCUAAACAGAAAGCCACGGCUAACUACGUG